rnacentral:rRNA from 1 species
UACGAAGGGGGCUAGCGUUGUUCGGAAUCACUGGGCGUAAAGGGAGCGUAGGCGGACUUGUAAGUCAGUGGUGAAAUCUGUGGGCUUAACCCACAAACUGCCAUUGAUACUGCAGGUCUAGAGUACAGUUGCCGUUGGCGGAAUAUGACAUGUAGUGGUGAAAUACUUAGAUAUGUCAUAGAACACCGAUUGCGAAGGCAGCUAACGAAGCUGUAACUGACGCUGAGGCUCGAAAGUGCGGGGAUCAAACAGG